UACGUAGGGUGCGAGCGUUGUCCGGAAUUACUGGGCGUAAAGGGCCAGUAGGCGGCCAACUAAGUCGGAUGUGAAAUCCCCAGGCUCAACUUGGGAACUGCAUCCGAUACUGGAUGGCUUGAAUUCGGGAGAGGGAUGCGGAAUUCCAGGUGUAGCGGUGAAAUGCGUAGAUAUCUGGAGGAACACCGGUGGCGAAGGCGGCAUCCUGGACCGAGAUUGACGCUGAUGCGCGAAAGCCAGGGGAGCAAACGGG
rnacentral:rRNA from 1 species